GACGAACGCUGGCGGCGUGCUUAACACAUGCAAGUCGAACGGAAAGGCCCUGCUUUUGUGGGGUGCUCGAGUGGCGAACGGGUGAGUAACACGUGAGUAACCUGCCCUUGACUUUGGGAUAACUUCAGGAAACUGGGGCUAAUACCGGAUAGGAGCUCCUGCUGCAUGGUGGGGGUUGGAAAGUUUCGGCGGUUGGGGAUGGACUCGCGGCUUAUCAGCUUGUUGGUGGGGUAGUGGCUUACCAAGGCUUUGACGGGUAGCCGGCCUGAGAGGGUGACCGGCCACAUUGGGACUGUGAUACGGCCCAGACUCCUACGGGAGGCAGCAGUGGGGAAUAUUGCAAAAUGGGCGGAAGCCUGAUGCAGCAACGCCGCGUGCGGGAUGACGGCCUUCGGGUUGUAAACCGCUUUCGCCUGUGACGAAGCGUGAGUGACGGUAAUGGGUAAAGAAGCACCGGCUAACUACGUG
rnacentral:rRNA from 1 species